GACGAACGCUGGCGGCGUGCUUAACACAUGCAAGUCGAACGGAAAGGCCCUGCUUUUGUGGGGUGCUCGAGUGGCGAACGGGUGAGUAACACGUGAGUAACCUGCCCUUGACUUUGGGAUAACUUCAGGAAACUGGGGCUAAUACCGGAUAGGAGCUCCUGCUGCAUGGUGGGGGUUGGAAAGUUUCGGCGGUUGGGGAUGGACUCGCGGCUUAUCAGCUUGUUGGUGGGGUAGUGGCUUACCAAGGCUUUGACGGGUAGCCGGCCUGAGAGGGUGACCGGCCACAUUGGGACUGAGAUACGGCCCAGACUCCUACGGGAGGCAGCAGUGGGGAAUAUUGCAAAAUGGGCGGAAGCCUGAUGCAGCAACGCCGCGUGCGGGAUGACGGCCUUCGGGUUGUAAACCGCUUUCGCCUGUGACGAAGCGUGAGUGACGGUAAUGGGUAAAGAAGCACCGGCUAAAUACGUGC
rnacentral:rRNA from 1 species